CACAAAAGCAAGUGGAACAUCAGUUCCCGUGAAUCACCAGAGCAGAGCAGCAGGAAUCCAUUCCAGAGAGCCCCUUUGGAUUCAUUGCAGAAGACAUCCCUUCCUCUAAACAACAGCUAAAUAGGGAGGAAGAGCCAAGGAAAAACACAAGUUUAACCCAAAGAUGCCUGAAUUAUGGUAUGUAAUCCACAGGGUGGAGAUUGUCCAUAAACUGAGGGUGCCCAGUUUUCAGUUCCCACACUCCCAACAAGAGCCCAAGCAGCUGCAGCAGCGUGGAACUACCUCUCUUCCAGUCCCUUGUAAAACACAAGGCCUUGAGGAGAAGAUGGUGCUGUGAAAAGCUGCUGAUGUGUUUCCCCCCAGGAUUUUGUGCUCCCUGGAUCCCUCAUGGAAGGCCUACUUUCCCAUGGAUAUAAAUUCAUUACCGCCAUAAGGCUGAGUCAGGAGUUGAGGUCUCCUCAACACUUAGUGAUAAUCAGAUAUUGGUUUUUAAUUUGGACAGGGGCAUCCACAAGAAAUUUACAGUAGGAACACUUUAGAUAUCAAAAAAAUCAAAAUUCAUGAGAACACCUUUUUUCCAGUUUUGUGGGUAAUAUGAGCUUUUGCCCUUGCCAGACAUUUCCUCCACUGCAAUUCCAAAGCCUGCACUUACCUGCCUGCUUUGACUCGGUAUUUUUUGCAGGUCACAUGCACUCCUUGUCUUUGGGAAAUCAGUUGUGUACUGUUGCUAUGGAGGAGAAUUUCCCCAGCUGAAGUUCUGUAGUACCACACAACACAUCUGCUUUAACUCGCCAGUUCUUUUCCUGCCUCAGAAUCUGUAGACACAGAAUUUCCCCUUCCAUGGUAGGAACACCCCCAGAAAACACCCCUAAAAAAUUCACCCUUCAACUGAUGUUUCAGCAUCUCCUCUCAUUCACAUUCAGAUCUAAUUCUCCGAGCCCUUUCUUAUUUCCCAGGAAGAGUGGAGUUGCUGAUAAACUUACUUUUUUGCAGAUGCAAUUCUGAGGACUAAUUGAGCUCAGUAGCUUUUUUCUCUUCUAGCUGGGGAUGCAUGUUAUGUACCAUAUUUUUGUUUACAGUUUGUAUGUUUGAUGCUUUUGUUUGAUAUGUUUUGUAUUUAAAGUAUUGCUGCUAUAGCAACUGUUGCAUCAUGUGAUAUCUUUGAUAUUAUCAAGAUGCCAAAUACUUGUUAAAGAAUAAAUCAGCAUAUCAGAUGAAAUUCACUGAUUCUUACAAUGUUUUAAAAUAAAUAUCUUAGCAGUUAAAGCAUUUGAUACUACUGUUUUUUUCUUUUUUUUUUUUUUUUUUUCCAUUUCUGGUAAGUGUUUUAGUGGAUAGGUUAGAGAUUAUAAGUACAGUAAAAAGACUAAUGAAUUUUCUUUUCUUGCUUACUGAGUUCAAAGCAUUAAAUACUUUGUUAUUUUCAUUAGGAAAAUUGUUCAUACCUUCUUGGACAUUUUGGGUUUCACUAAGUGAUACAAAAAAUUCCAUUGCCAUUUGCCUCUGACAAGAAGGUAUAUCCUUGGAGACAGCCCACAUUGAGAUAAGAAGUAAAUAGUCUUGAAGUAAAGCUUGGAGUCUUGAAGUUAUGCUCUUAACUUAAAUUUGGAAACAAAUAAAGAUGAAACAAAUGCAAGUCCACAAAAGUUGACUUUUUUUUCUUCUCCUGUAAACUCAUAAGAAAAAAACAGCCACUGGGAGUGAGGAGUCACACUGUGCAGAGCAGUACCUGUCUGCCAGGUAUCUUCAGUGUUCUGCACUAGAUUUUGGACAGGAGUGGGAUUGACCUUGGAUUGAGAGCUGUAUCUCUCUCUGGAUCUCAUCCUUUUGAAUGGAUCAGGCACUGGAGAUUUCUCACCAUCUUUUCACACUUGACCAACCAGUAGGUCAAGUCAGUUGAUGGUUUAGUUUUGGGCUAAGCACCUUAUGAACCUUUUUGUCCCUGCUUACCUUUGAGCAUUUGGGCAAAGUGCUCUUUGUGGUACCACCGAGCCUUCCGCAGGGACCCCACGUGACAUCUUUAGUGGUCAUUUUCCUUUGACAUGUUUGCAGAUAAGAACAAGACUUUUUCUGCUCUCAGCUUUGAUAGAGACAUCUCUGCCCCACCUUCUGCUAGAGUAAAGCAGUUUGGGUACAUAUAUCUAAAGAAAUAUGAGAUAUUUAGAUCUACUUAUGCCUUCUAACCUGAAAUAAAAAGUUAAUGGUGCAUUAGCUACAAAGUAUUGUUAGGAAGGCUGAGAGAAUAUGUAGUCUGGUAGCCUCUGUAGAAAGAGAAACUUGUGCAAUAAAAGUAAAAACCUGAACAAUAAAUUACAAGUUUCCUUCCUGUUAUGCAAACAACCACAAGCUUUUUCAAGUCCUUUGCAGUAAACUUGCAGUUUAAUUCUCCUGAGUACUUUCAGAACCUUUACAAAGCUCACAAUUUACCUGAUAAUCUCUGCUAAACUAGAGAUCAUCUUUAUUUUGCUUAUUUUCUUGAGUAUGAAUAUAAUUUCAUAGUUUGGAGACAGACCUGACAAGCAGUCUGCUGGUCAAGCCAUAGCAGGAAAGCAAUUAAGAGACAAUUACUUUAAAGAUGCUUUAUCUCAAGUUUGGUUUCUAAAUAACAACAUGAAGUUACUAUUUUUUAGAACUAGACCAAGCUGUAGGAGAAUGUCUCAUGAUAAUCAACAUUUUCCUUGUUCUGCUGGACCUUUGAAAUAGCUAAUGGUGACAGAACGGGCACAGUACCCAAAUGUGAGGCAGCAGGUGUGGUUGGUACCAUGCCAGGUAUUGUCUCAAAGCCUGGCAUUUGUAGUCUUAACGUAAUUUUCUCCCUUUCUUUUCAGCUGACAGUGCCUGUGAAUUAAGUAUAUCUCAGAUUGACAGCACUCUGCAGUAUGUUUAGAUUUGCAGGGUCAUGCCCAAGCCUUGCUUCAGAAUACGUGACUGUGAAGAUCACAGUUGUGUUUUCUUCUUUUUCUUAGCAUUUUUUAAAUCAGUGCAGCUGGAAUUCCAGGUUCCUGGCUGCUACUGCCCAUAGGAUUUUUAGAAUGGCCAUAGAGCAUUCAGAUCUCAUAGCAGAAAUGAGCCUUCCUGAAUAUCAGUGUUGCUGAAGCCUAGGGACAAUGAUAUAAAACUUUUUAUAAAAAAGAAAUCAAAGAUUGGGAGACCAUAAUGAGCUAUUAAGACUGUAUAUUUAUACAAAUGCUAUCAUUUAAAAGAAUUUUGAUAAAAUUACACUGUUUCCAGUUUUCAGGUUUGUGGAGCAGACGCUGUUUCUGGCAUAACCUCAUAAGUGCUACUCAGCCAGAGUGUGAGUUGAGCAGUGUUCUUCUAGGGACUUGUUAUUUUUAGGAGCUAACAGGAGUUGCUCUUGGUCAUCUGAAUGAAUUUUUGUUUGUUGCAAACUGUAUUGAAAGUUCAGAUUCACUUCUUUGUAUGGGUUUACAUUAAAAAUACUGCUCAAGGCUGAUGGAGCUCUUCAUUAGGAUACCUGGCAACUUUUCUUGGUCCCUGCAUGAUGGGAAUCUAGCUAUUAGAUCUUUACUCUGUAGAUGUUUUCAAUAGCAAAAUGUAUCCUAAUUUUGUUCUAAAAUAAGGAUCUCAUGACAGAAUGUGAGGUGUUUUGAUGACGUUUGUAAUAUUUAAAGAAAGACUUCUACAAAGCUCACUGGCAGUUACCACAUCUUUUCAUGUUACCUCACCUUUCUAAUUAUCUCUCUUCAUUAGGCAGUAAGUCUAAUUAGAAGAAUGAUGCAGGUUUUCCAGGCAAAUUCACUCUAUUUUUCUAUGUCUGUUUUAAUGUAGCUGUGCUCUCCUACCUAAUGUAGCAUGAGGGUAGCUGCUGGCUGCUAACUCUCUGGAUUCCAAGCUUUGGCACAUCUGGAAGCUUAGCUCGUUGUUUACCCAAUUCAAAGAGUAACUAUUACUUACUAAAUAUAUACCUUCCCUUGGAAACUACAGUUCUUAAAGAAAAGGAACCUAAAUUUGCAUGAUGUUUAUUGCAGCGAGUACUGAUUUCACCUUUGCUUAAAUGAAAAAAAAUGCUGGCUUUACCCUUUGAAUUUAAGAGUGGCAAGAAGCUCUGUGAGCUUCCAAACUCUUCCUCCUAUGAAUCCUGUAAGUGAUUCUAUUCAUUUUCACUAGUUUGAUGUGAAAUAGUGACAAUAGUCACAAUCCACAGUGACAAUAGUGAUGAAUGCAGAUACUAGAAGACUGUGUCCAGGUUAUAUUUUAAAACCUUAUAUACUUACAGAGAUUUCAGGCACCUACAGAUUUUAUACCUGAUAGAAAAUUACCAGCAAAGUUUAAUACUGCAGUAAAAGUAAAUCCUGGGGAUUUGCUGGAGCCUCCUGGAGUUUAAGCUAUGAAGAAUUAUACUAAAAUAGCUGUGUUUCUUACAACCUGUAAGAAAAAUAAUUGACAAAAUAAGACCUACGAUCUGAGACAAUUUCUUUGCUAAGUUUUGCCUUUGCUUGUCUUAUCUAACCUUUUCUUUCAAAGGAGAAUCUGCUCUCCUUAAGUGGAAUGUGCAGGAUGUACUUCAGUUAAUUCCCUUCUUUCAAUUUGUCUGGGAUUGAGGAGCUCUUUCCCUUCCCCACCAGGUUCUGUCACACAUCUUUGCCUUCAGUCAGGAAAAAUCAGCUUAGGGCUCCCCACCUGUGAGGGCAGUACCUGUGUGUUGGCCAGAGGGCUGAAGGCCAGGCUGGCGUUCUCUCCACCCGAGGAUGGUGAUGUAUCCCCAGACACAUCUGCCGAGCAGACAAGCGCGUCUGAGACUGAAACGGUUAAUGAUUUGUGCAUUCUAGGAGACUUUUGCAGGCUUUUGACCUCUGAUGGGCAGUUGGGCCCAUCCCUCCCUCCGGUGCUGAAGGUGUCAAGCCCUGAAAAGGCAGGAAGAGCCGAGUUUACACCUCUGAUGGUCCAUCAAAGCCCACCCCCCCUCUGCCAAUGUUGAAAGGCGGGAACCAGGCCGGACACGGAAACUGCGCAGGCACAGGGAGAGUUUGGAGGCUCGAGGCAGGGCCCGUGACAAUAACCAUGGGUGUAAUAACUCAUAACUUCUUGGCGUGUGGGGGCUUCCCUCCUUCACCCCCGGCAGAUCAAGGCCACACUUCAGCUGACAGGCACGGAAGCGGCAACUACCAAGUGUCACCGCUGGACCCGUGGGCGGUGACUAUAGAUGUUUUUUCCACUCUCAUCUUUUCUUUUUCCUUACUCUCCCUUACUCUUAUCCUGUCUUUCUGUCCCCUAUGCGUUUUCUCCACCCCCCCCCCCCAAAGGUUAUCUCUAUGUCACAUUGUUAUAUGACAGCACCCAAAAUGCUAGCAUACCUGUUGAUACAGAAUUGUUAAAAUAAACCUUACCAAUAUA